AAGUAAGUUGGCAGAAUAGUGCAAUCGAUUUAGGAUCUAUAAAUGGGCGACAGCCCACUUACU
rnacentral:tRNA from 1 species